AUGAAUGAUCUUAUGAGGCCUUAAUACCUGCAACCAAGCUCGAACAGUGCUCUGCAUAACAUCUUGAAUGGUAAACAGACGGCCACGAACUGCUUCUUGCUCUUCAAUCAUUUCCCUUGUGCUCUUUUUUAUUCCUUCCAACAAGUUUCUUGCUCCAUUCCCUUUCAGAUGUUGGAGAAGCUCAAAAACAAUCUCGUCUCUUGCAUGAAGUGACCACUUCACUCUGAUAACCUGUAAGGAAAUGCAAAAGUUGAAAGGAGCUUCUAUGUGCAGUGGACUUGAUCAGCAUGAAUUGUUCUUAAACCAUAAAAAAAUAUCAGCCUAUGGCAGAUAAUAUGGAUCCCUUAGCCACUGCUUGUGUUUUCAAAAGCCAGCAAUAAAAAUUACGAUAACUAUAAGGUAUCACUAAAGAUUAACUUUGAGCCCAUAUUGGGCUUUUGUCUAAGUUCUAGAUAUAUAUCCAACAAAUUCUAACACUUUUGCUUUUCGCAAAUGAUACUCCUGAUUAGAGAAUCAAGAGACGAGAUAAUGAAAAUUUAAAUGUGGUGGCAAGCCCUGUAAAACAGAGUAAACAGAAUGCAAGUUUGACAAAAAUUAAGGCCAAAUACUACUUUUAGUCCUUUAAGUUUGACAAAAAUACUAGGUCAAUCCUUUAAGUUUUUUAAGUUUCAAAUAGGUCCUUUAAGUUUUUUUUAAGUUUCAAAUAGGUCCUUAAAAGGGUAACGGCGUAUUAAAUUAACAACUUAACGGACCUAUUUGAAACUUAAAAAAGCUCAAAGGACCAAAAUAUA
rnacentral:lncRNA from 1 species